rnacentral:rRNA from 1 species
CAGUCGCCGCGGGAAUACGAAGGGUGCAAGCGUUAAUCGGAAUUACUGGGCGUAAAGCGUGCGUAGGCGGUGAGUUAAGUCUGCUGUGAAAUCCCCGGGCUCAACCUGGGAACUGCGCUUGUGACUGCACAGCUAGAGUAUGGCAGAGGGGGGUGGAAUUCCACGUGUAGCAGUGAAAUGCGUAGAGAUGUGGAGGAACACCGAUGGCGAAGGCAGCCCCCUGGGCCAAUACUGACGCUCAUGCACGAAAGCGUGGGGAGCAAACAGGAUUAGAUACCCGUGUAGUCCCUGUCUCUUAUAC